AUUGAACGCUAGCGGGAUGCUUUACACAUGCAAGUCGAACGGCAGCGCGGACUUCGGUCUGGCGGCGAGUGGCGAACGGGUGAGUAAUGUAUCGGAACGUGCCCAGUAGCGGGGGAUAACUACGCGAAAGCGUAGCUAAUACCGCAUACGCCCUACGGGGGAAAGCAGGGGAUCGUAAGACCUUGCACUAUUGGAGCGGCCGAUAUCGGAUUAGCUAGUUGGUGAGGUAACGGCUCACCAAGGCGACGAUCCGUAGCUGGUUUGAGAGGACGACCAGCCACACUGGGACUGAGACACGGCCCAGACUCCUACGGGAGGCAGCAGUGGGGAAUUUUGGACAAUGGGGGCAACCCUGAUCCAGCCAUCCCGCGUGUGCGAUGAAGGCCUUCGGGUUGUAAAGCACUUAUGGCAGGAAAGAAACGUCGCGGGCUAAUACCCCGUGGAACUGACGGUACCUGCAGAAUAAGCACCGGCUAACUACGUG
rnacentral:rRNA from 1 species